rnacentral:rRNA from 1 species
CCUACGGGUGGCAGCAGUGAGGAAUAUUGGUCAAUGGACGAGAGUCUGAACCAGCAAAGCAGCGUGAAGGAUGACUGUCCUAUGGGUUGUAAACUUCUUUUAUAAAGGAAUAAAACGAGGCACGUGUGCCUUAUUGCAUGUACUUUAUGAAUAAGCAUCGGCUAACUCCGUGCCAGCAGCCGCGGUAAUACGGAGGAUCCGAGCGUUAUCCGGAUUUAUUGGGUUUAAAGGGAGCGUAGGUGGGUUGUUAAGUCAGUUGUGAAAGUUUGGGGCUCAACCGUAGAAUUGCAGUUGAUACUGGCAGUCUUGAGUACAGGAGAGGUAGGCGGAAUUCGUGGUGUAGCGGUGAAAUGCUUAGAUAUCGCGAAGAACCCCGAUGGCGAAGGCAGCUUACUGGACUGUAACUGACAUUGAGGCUCGAAAGUGUGGGUAUCAAACAGGAUUAGAUACCCUAGUAGUC